rnacentral:rRNA from 1 species
AGUCGCCGCGGGAAUACAGAGGAUGCAAGCGUUAUUCGGAAUGAUUGGGCGUAAAGCGUCUGUAGGUGGCUUUUCAAGUCCACCGUCAAAUCCCCGGGCUCAACCCUGGACAAGCAGUGGAAACUACCAAGCUGGAGUACGGUAGGGGUAGAGGGAAUUUCCGGUGGAGCGGUGAAAUGCGUUGAGAUCGGAAAGAACACCAACGACGAAAGCACUCUGCUGGGCCGACACUGAUACUGAGAGACGAAAGCUAGGGGAGCAAAUGGGAUUAGAUACCCCCGUAGUCCCUGUCUCUUAUACA